rnacentral:rRNA from 1 species
GAUGAACGCUGGCGGCGUGCCUAAUACAUGCAAGUCGAGCGAACGGACGAGAAGCUUGCUUCUCUGAUGUUAGCGGCGGACGGGUGAGUAACACGUGGAUAACCUACCUAUAAGACUGGGAUAACUUCGGGAAACCGGAGCUAAUACCGGAUGAUAUUUUGAACCGCAUGGUUCAAAAGUGAAAGACGGUCUUGCUGUCACUUAUAGAUGGAUCCGCGCUGCAUUAGCUAGUUGGUAAGGUAACGGCUUACCAAGGCAACGAUGCAUAGCCGACCUGAGAGGGUGAUCGGCCACACUGGAACUGAGACACGGUCCAGACUCCUACGGGAGGCAGCAGUAGGGAAUCUUCCGCAAUGGGCGAAAGCCUGACGGAGCAACGCCGCGUGAGUGAUGAAGGUCUUCGGAUCGUAAAACUCUGUUAUUAGGGAAGAACAUAUGUGUAAGUAACUGUGCACAUCUUGAUGGUACCUAAUCAGAAAGCCACGGCUAACUACGU